rnacentral:rRNA from 1 species
UACGGAGGGGGCGAGCGUUAUUCGGAAUUAUUGGGCGUAAAGGGCGCGUAGGCGGCUUCAUAAGUCAAAGGUGAAAUCCCUCGGCUCAACUGAGGAACUGCCUUUGAAACUGUGGAGCUUGAGGCCGGGAGGGGGUAGCGGAAUUCCCAGUGUAGCGGUGAAAUGCGUAGAUAUUGGGAGGAACACCAGUGGCGAAGGCGGCUACCUGGACCGGAACUGACGCUGAUGCGCGAAAGCGUGGGUAGCAAACAGG